UGGCACUGUCUCCGAAGCUUCCUCCCAGAAGUUCUCUGCACCAACUGGGGACGGCGCGGGCGGCUCCUCGGAAAGGGCAUUACUCAUGGGAACUGUCUGGAGAGAAGGCUGCCCCCCUCCUGUACGCUCCUGCUCAGACACAACAAUCCCCAACUCUGCUUCUUCUGACUGCGAAGGAGCCUGAAACUCAUGCCUCCCCCCUUCCUGUUCCUUCUGAGUUGGCUGCAGUGCAACAGAGAUGGAGGCAGCCAGCCAAGGAAGAGCUGGAAGGUCUACACAAGAAUAAAAUUUGGACACUGACCAAGCUUCCUCAAGGGAGAAAAGCUGUAGGAUGCCUGUGGAUAUUCAAGAAAAAGCUGGAUGCUGAAGGAAAAUUGAGAGAUAGAAGACAAGACUAGUAACCAAAUAAUACUCUCAAAAGUAUGGACAAGACUACGAUCAAACAUUUGCUCCUGUAGUCGAACACGCAACCAUCAGACCUCUUCUGAGUGUUGCUGCUAACAGAAAAUGCAGGUGGAGCACAUGGAGAUAAAAACAGCAUUCUUGCAUGUUGAAAUAGAAGAGGAAAUCUACAUGCAACAACCACCAGGGUUUGAUGUUCCAGAAAAGAAACCCUAGCAUGUAAACUUCAAAAAUCCAUCCAUGGACUUAUACAGGCUGCCAGAGCCUGGAAUGAGAAACUGAACGAAAUGCUCUUGAAAUAAGGCUUUGUACAAAGCAUAGCAAAGCAGAUUCAGGAACAACAGAUGGGCUUACCUACUGAUUUACAUUGGCUUAUCAAGACUCACCGGACAAGCAAUAACCAGUGAAUCAUUUUAACAAGGAGGUUGAAGUGAAGUGCCUAGGUGAUGUCACUCACUGCCUAGGAAUACACAUUGAAAGAAGAUGAUGGAUCCUUUUUGUGAGUCAAAGACAAAAGAUCCAAGAUCUCAAAAGUCUAGGAAUGAAGGAUGCACAUCCAGCACCUACUCCAAUGGAAGUAGGAUACCUGAAACGGGACCACAACAAACAACCAUGGGAAGACAUGAGAGCUACAGACAAGCUGUUGGGAAAUCCCAACACUGAACUGCUUCUCACCCUCCUUCCCUCCACAAGCCUGGGUUGAUAGACCAAUAGCCCACCUCAGUGAAAGACUCAGAAGACUUUAUAUUUUUCUCUAGAAAAAGAUACAACCAGCAUUUUCACUGUAUAAUUUGGAGUGGAAAAUGAGAAUGGAAUGGCAUUUUGGCAACAGUUAAGAACAGGGCCUUUUCCAGUACCAGAGCUGAGAUGAAGUGGCAAGUUCAAUCAUGGAGAAAAGAAUGCAGAUGGUCUCUUGGAUGCUGGAAACUGGAGACAUCUUGGUGGUGGUGGAAGCGAAGCGAAACGAAGCCAAGAGUAUUGGCACUUUGGUCCCCAGAAGGAUCUUAAGAUACAGGCACCCUCCUGUCCUUACUGCUAUUCCCACUUUUGUCACCCCCAAAUUAGGACCAAAUGUCACUGAACUUUUCAGUAGCCCAGAUGUGGAGGAGAAUCAAGUGCAGCUUCUACCACAGGCUACCCAUUAAAAAACAGUUUAAUGGAUGUACAUGAGUGAGCAAGUAUGCAUCGUGUUUCCAGUCGGAUUAAAACAUACAAAAAUGAUGACAGCAUUUGACUGGGCGUGUAUUUCUAAGAAGUAAAGACUACUUGUGGAGUGCAAAGUAUUGCAUGGGAUCCAAGAGAAUCUACCUGAACAGCUUUCACAGAUGCAAUUUCCAUCCUGCUGCUCCCCCUGCAAACCAAUGUUAAUUUCUGAGUGCUCUGCUGAAUGCCACUUUGGGGGUUUCCCAACCUUCAGAUUAAGCUGUUGAUAGGUUGCUGUGGGAAGGUGGGUGGUAGCGAAGGCAUCAGCAUCCAGUGCAUGUAAGGAAUCACCUUAUUUUUUAAACAAGGGGAGAGAAAGAAAGGUUUGUAAUACAAAACUUUAGGUCAGUUUAGAUCUAUAGAAGCUUCAUAGCCCUCAAAUAGCAAACAUCAGCAACAUAAACUCUGGGAUCUUAUCGACUAUCAAAAUGUGCCUUCAGGCUUUUUAACAAUAUAUAUAUAUAUAUAUAUCAGCUUUCAGAGAACUGGAGAGCUACUGUCACGGAAGUGAAGAACCACCUUCAGCUGCCACUCUUCCAGUCACGUGGAAAUACAUAAUGGCAGAGACACACCGUUCCUCACACACAGGCUCUCCAUUGUCCUUAAGAUCCAAAGAAUAGUGCAACCUUUUGCGCAAGAAGCUUUCCUGAAGUUUCCCACAAACUCAUGGUUUGUGGAAGAAGGCUGGGACAUAUCUCCUAACUUCAAUAAAGUAGAACAGAGGUGGUUGAAUUUGUUUGUCUGGAUCCACCUCACCCCCAAGUCUAUUGGUGAAAGCUCAUAGGGAUCUUUCGUGAAGAGGAACAGAGGUAUCACGUGUAGGAAACAACCCUGGGAUGAACUGUGCUCAAGUCCUUUUGCAGAAGAGGGGCAGUGUCUGAAUCCUCAAGUUGGCCGUUUGGUAGAUUUGACAUCAGCGGAGUCUUUACUUGAGCAUCUCUCUGAAAGAAGCAGGAAAAGUCUAGUUAGGAGCUGGACUGUCAAAGAGGAGACACGUAUACGCUUCAGUCGGAUUGAUCUUCGUUAUAACCUCUGGGGUGCUGCUGCACACUGGGUCGACAUUUUCAUCGUGCUGUCUACUACAACCCCGAGGUCUCUCUCCUGGUCGGUCACCGCCAGUUCAGACCCCAUGAUCGUAUAUGUGAAAUUCAGAUUUUUUGCUCCAAUAUGCAUAAUUUUACACUUGUUUAUAUUGAAUUGCAUUUGCCAUUUUUCCGCCCAUUCACUCAGUUUGGAGAGGUCUUUUUGGAGCUCUUCGCAAUCCCUUUUAGUUUUAACUGUAGGCUGCUGAGAAGUAUGUGAGUAGAGUUUUCCAGAAAGACAGUACAGAACUGACUAUAAAGGGGUUAAUCUGUGUUCAGGACUGCCAAGGUCAGCUCACAGCAGAUGCGGCUGGCGAAGGGCAGUGAAAGCUAUAUAUCCUUGAAAGCAAAAGCACAAGGUGUGGGGGAUGUUGUUAGAAGUUAGGAGAAGCCAGGAAUGCAUUUAUGUCUGUUACUUCAAGUCAGUAAAGACUCUUAAACCUAUAACUGUCUGCGUCUAUCUGUCUUGGGCACACUGGCACUGGGUUCUACCGGGUACAACCGGUCGCCGGGCAUACACUCACAAUCAUCGCUGCAACAAGGGUUAUGGGCCCAGACUACGGCACAGAAUAGGCAGCAUUCGAACCCAGAGCAAGGCAAGAGAAGCCCAGAGAGCGGCAAACAGUUCAGCAGAGAAGCAAGCAAGCCAGGAGCUUGGGAGAAGCGGUAACGUGGCUGAGUGCUUGAUCGAGAGCGGCAGAGGAGAAGUGUGCUGUGGAGAUGGCAGUUUCACUUUCAGCCGGAAUGCCUCUGGAGAGGCUCACUGAGUGUAAUUAUUCUAGCUGGAGGCUUAGAAUGCAGGCUUUCCUGACAAAAGAAGAUUUAUGGCAUGUAAUUGAAGACGACCCACCGAUAGCUCCUCAGUCGGCAGCGUGGAUUCGCAUGGAUGAAAAGGCAAGAGCAUUUAUUAUAUUGGCUUUAGAUGACUCUCAAUUAUUACACGUGAAAACACGGCCAACAGCGAAGCUUAUGUGGACUGCUUUGAAUGAAGUACAUGUAAAACAGACAGCCAGUAGCAAGAUAUACUUAGCGCGUAAACUUUAUCAGAUGAAACUGGCAGGGGACAAGACAAUGUCUGAGCAUUUGUUGGAAUUACAAAGACUGUUUGCAGAGCUGCAGGAGCGGAAUGUAGAGCACACACAGUUGCAGAGAGCUUAUAUUAUCUUCAUUGGAUUUGUCUUGGGAUCUGUUAGUCAGUUCAUUGGAGGCUAUGCAAGACGCAGGUUUGACUACGGAUUAUGUCUCGGGCAAGCUUCUCCAGGAAUGGGAGAGAAGGAAAGAGGCCGGAGGAUGGGAGAAAACAGAGACAAGAGAAAGCAGGAAGACAAACUUCAAAGACGCAGAAGCAAGAUCGUUUGGACUUAAAGCUUGUUAUUAUUGUGGUUCGAAAACACAUCUACAGAGAGACUGUGAAGCGAAGCGUAAAGGACGAGGCUGGAAGCCGAAAAGUGUGCAACUGGUGAGUGCUGGGACUAGUAAACCGAAAAGCUGUGAGAACAAAGACAGUGCUGUAUGGGUGAUUGAUUCUGGGGCUACCCAUAGCUUAAUAAAGGACAGAACUUUGUUCAGAACUUCACUUCCCGCGAAAGAGGAUGUUGUGCUGGCGGAUGGCACACACAGAGAGGUGUUGGGAAGAGGCACAGUAAAACUCAGUGUCUUAAAUACAAUUAUGACAGAUGUAUUGUAUGUACCAGGUUUGGAAUGUAGCAUAAUGUCUGUAAAGAAACUGAAUGCAAUGGGAUAUACUGUAACAUUUAAACAAGGGAUGUGUGAGACACAGAAAGGAGACAAAAUCUGUAUGAAAGGGUUUCUGAAGGAUUCACUGUUCUACAUUCAGUUCAAACACGCAGGUUGUGCUGCUAUGAGUGCUAACAGAAAGCCUCAUGAUGACUGCGUUCAUCUGUGGCACAGAAAACUAGGGCAUGCUAGUUUUGGUACAAUAAUGAAAACUCCCAGUAAUAGUGUGGAUGUUGACACUGAAGGACUGUGACAAAUAUGUAGAAUGUGAUGUGUGUAGCCAAACCAAAGCCACAGUUGCUCCCAUAUGCAAAGAGGCAGAGUGUAAAACAAACGCACCAUACCAGAUGAUUCACGUUGAUUUAGCAGGACCAUUUCAGAGUUCACAAGGAGGUGCCAAGUAUUUUCUGGUGAUUGUGGAUGACUACACUAGGUAUAGCACCAUAUAUCUGCUUAAGGCUAAAGAUGAAGCAGAGGGGAAACUGAAGCAAUUUGUGCAAAAGGUUGAAGUGCAACAUGGUGUGACUAUACAAAGAAUACGCUCUGAUCAAGGGGGAGAGUCUACUGGAAAGUCCCUAGAGCAGUACUUAACAAAGAAGGGAAUAGAACAGAAUUUCACUGCACCAUUCUCACCAUUUCAGAAUGGGAUUGCUGAGAGGAAAAAUAGGUCACUUCAGGAUGCAACAAGAGCCAUGUUGAGAGAUUCUGAAUUAUCUAAUGUGUUUUGGGGAGAGUGCAUGUUGUAUGCCACGUACAUUCAGAACAGGCUAUUCCAUAGAACACUUAACAUGACACCAUAUGAAAGGCUCACAGGGAGGAAACCAAGACUCCAGCACAUUGCAAGGUUUGGGGCAAGGUGCUGGGUGCACAUACCCAUAAUAAUAAUAAUAAUAAAUAAUAAUAAAUUUAAUUUCUGUGUUGCCUAUCUGGCCAAUGGCCACUCUAGGCGACGUACAAAAUCAUUAAAAUACAAUUAAUAAAAUACAGUGAUACAAUAUAAAACAGUGUAAAAUCAAUAAAUCUGCAACAACAGUAUUAAAAGAGGGCAGGAGGCAUUACAGUUAUAGCAGUUAACCCUCCCCAGAAACCCCGAAGGCCUGUUGAAAGAGCCAGGUCUUUAAGGCUUUCCGAAAUACAUUUAGGGAAGAGGCGUGCCGGAGAUCUUGUGGGAGGGAGUUCCAAAGAGUGGGGACCGCCACUGAGAAUGCCCUCUCUCUAGUACCCGCCAAUCUGGCUGUUUUUGUUGGCGGGAUUGAGAGAAGGCCCUGUGUGGCCGAUCUUGUCGGGCGGCAUAAUUGGUGGCGUUGAAGGCGCUCCGUGAGAUAAACUGGGCCGAAACUGUGUAGGGAUUUAAAGGUCAAUACCAACACCUUGAAUUGGGCUCGGAAAACAACUUUACCCAAAGGGAAGAGACAUGGAAAACUAGCUCAAAGAGCACAAAGAGGAAAUGUGAUCGGAUUCCAGAACGCAUAUUACUAUGUUUGGGUGCAAAGUCAGAGAAAGGUGGUGCUGAGUAGAAGCAUAAAAGUACAAGAGCAGGAUUGGGUUCACAGUACAUAUGUUGAUCUAAAUAAUUCACAUGAAGCAUCCACAGAACAUGACUUAGAGCAGGAGGUAAAACAAGAAGAAGAAGAAGAACCUGUUACUGAAGAGGAAACUGUAACAUUGAGACACUCUGAUAGAGCUAACCUGGGGAAACCACCUGAAAGGUUUCAGAUUGGCACAAUCAGAAGUGAAGAAACAAAUAAAUACACAGAAAUGUAUGAUGAGGAAACGUAUCUAGAUUGUGUGAAACCAUAAAAGUCUGUAAUGAUUGUAACUCUGUAAAGCAAUGUAUCAAACAUGUAUUGUUAAUGCAAAUGGAUGUCUUUAUGGAAAAGGUGGGAGCUGUAGGCUGCUGAGAAGUAUGUGAGUAGAGUUUUCCAGAGAGACAGUACAGAACUGACUAUAAAGGGGUUAAUCUGUGUUCAGGACUGCCAAGGUCAGCUCACAACAGAUGCGGCUGGCGAAGGGCAGUGAAAGCUAUAUAUCCUUGAAAGCAAAAGCACAAGGUGUGGGGGAUGUUGUUAGAAGUUAGGAGAAGCCAGGAAUGCGUUUAU